rnacentral:rRNA from 1 species
UACGUAGGGUGCGAGCGUUGUCCGGAAUUACUGGGCGUAAAGAGCUCGUAGGUGGUUUGUCGCGUUGUCCGUGAAAACUCACAACUCAAUUGUGGGCGUGCGGGCGAUACGGGCAGACUGGAGUACUGCAGGGGAGACUGGAAUUCCUGGUGUAGCGGUGGAAUGCGCAGAUAUCAGGAGGAACACCAGUGGCGAAGGCGGCUUUCUGGACGGUAACUGACGCUGAGACGCGAAAGCGUGGGGAGCAAACAGG